rnacentral:lncRNA from 1 species
CAUAAGAAUGCCUGUUUCUUGUCACAGCCUAAUAUUAAUGAAGGGGACAAUAUGGUGUCUUGGAUCUUUGGAUUUUUUUCAAUCUAUGAAAUGAUGGAACUGGAUCACCAUUGGAUUUAAGAGGUUGUCAGCCAUAAUCAUCCAUAUCAGAAAAGGACCAGGAGUGGAAAACACUGAUGACAUCUUCAAGUAACAUUAAUGUCCCAGUUUUCAGCAAAGCUACUGCAGCAAGAAGAACUGAAUUCUGAUGCAAGGAUGGCCAUGCUCGUCAGCCUGGUGUCCAUUCAGGAACUAGAAAGUUGUCACAGGAAAGCAGAGAGCUGAAACUCCAAAUCUCAGUUCUUGUGUUCUGAAGAAACAAGAUUUAAAGUCAGACACCAAAAGUCAUGCGUGAGAACUUUAUUAGAAGUGAAAGUGAGGGGAAAAUAAAGUAAAAGAAAAGUGAAGCUUAAGCAAAAAAGCAGUCGAGAGAGAGAAAGAGAGAGAGAGAGAGAGAGAGAGAGAGAGAGAGA